GUCAAGAUGUUCACAAAGAUACUAGUAGCUCUACUGGUGGUAGUCCAUGUGGUUCUGGCUAAUCACGUUGAUAAAACGUUUGAAGAACAGAAACCAAGGUUUAAACGAAGUACUUGUGUAUCGACAAAACAAAAUGGCGAUGUGACGGUGAUCAACUACCCUGGUACAACAGCAACAUAUCCAAACAACGCUGCAUGUGAUUGGACAGUCUGUCCUGGUACACCGGAAGCACAUAUUGUUAUCACACGCAUGGACAUUGAAAAGUCAUACUACAGACACUGUGCGUACGAUGCAUUGAGCAUACAACAAGUUAAAUAUUGUGGUUCAGCAUCUGUGGAUAUGAAUGUGAAGACAAACAACGGUUGUCUUGCAGUCAGCUUUACGAGUGAUUCUAGUGUUCGACAGACGGGUUUCAGUCUUGAAAUUAGUCGAGGUCAAGGUAAUACUAGCUCUACUAUUAGUAAUUACAGCACUCCAUCUUACCCUAGCAACUACCCAGAUUACAUCCCAAGCUUCACCUCAGAUUACAUCCCAAGCUACACCCCAAGCUUCACCUCAGAUUACAACCCAUAUUUUUUCCCAAGCUUCACCUCAGAUUACAACCCAAGCUACAGUACAGAUUACUACCCAAGCUUCACCUCAGCUAACUACCCAAGCAUCGACCCACAUUACUUCCCACCCUUCACCUCAGCUAACUACCCAAGCAACAGUUAUUACUUUUAACGGCAAGUACGGUAAAGCUAUAUCCAUUACCAGGUACGGUACAUUUCGACAACCAAGUAGAAAACUGCCGACCAACAGCUAGAUAUUAUUAAUAAAAUAUAAAGCAAC